rnacentral:rRNA from 1 species
UACAGAGGGUGCGAGCGUUACUCGGAAUUACUGGGCGUAAAGCGCACGUAGGCGGCUUGGUAUGUCGGGUGUGAAAUCCCCGGGCUCAACCUGGGAACUGCAUCCGAAACUGCCUUGCUCGAGUAUGGGAGAGGGAAGUGGAAUUUCCGGUGUAGCGGUGAAAUGCGUAGAUAUCGGAAGGAACAUCAGUGGCGAAGGCGACUUCCUGGACCAAUACUGACGCUCAGGUGCGAAAGCUUGGGGAGCAAACAGG